rnacentral:rRNA from 1 species
UACGUAGGGUGCAAGCGUUGUCCGGAAUUAUUGGGCGUAAAGAGCUCGUAGGCGGUUUGUCGCGUCUGCUGUGAAAACCCGAGGCUCAACCUCGGGCCUGCAGUGGGUACGGCGAGACUAGAGUGCGGUAGGGGAGAUUGGAAUUCCUGGUGUAGCGGUGAAAUGCGCAGAUAUCAGGAGGAACACCGGUGGCGAAGGCGGGUCUCUGGGCCGUAACUGACGCUGAGGAGCGAAAGCGUGGGGGAGCGAACAGG